rnacentral:rRNA from 1 species
UACGUAGGGACCAAGCGUUGUUCGGAUUUACUGGGCGUAAAGGGCGCGUAGGCGGCAAUUCAAGUCAUCUGUGAAAUCUCCGGGCUUAACUCGGAACGGUCAGAUGAUACUGCUUUGCUAGAGUGCGGAAGGGGCAAUCGGAAUUCUUGGUGUAGCGGUGAAAUGCGUAGAUAUCUGGAGGAACACCGGUGGCGAAGGCGGCAUCCUGGACCGGUAUUGACGCUGAGGCGCGAAAGCUAGGGGAGCAAACGGG